ACUCCUACGGGAGGCAGCAGUGGGGAAUAUUGGACAAUGGGGGAACCCUGAUCCAGCCAUGCCGCGUGUGUGAAGAAGGCCUUUUGGUUGUAAAGCACUUUAAGCGAGGAGGAGGCUUACCUGGUUAAUACCUGGGAUAAGUGGACGUUACUCGCAGAAUAAGCCAGCCGCAUAACUCUGUGCCAGCAGCCGCGGUAAUACAGAGGGUGCAAGCGUUAAUCGGAUUUACUGGGCGUAAAGCGCGCGUAGGUGGCUAAUUAAGUCAAAUGUGAAAUCCCCGAGCUUAACUUGGGAAUUGCAUUCGAUACUGGUUAGCUAGAGUAUGGGAGAGGAUGGUAGAAUUCCAGGUGUAGCGGUGAAAUGCGUAGAGAUCUGGAGGAAUACCGAUGGCGAAGGCAGCCAUCUGGCCUAAUACUGACACUGAGGUGCGAAAGCAUGGGGAGCAAACAGGAUUAGAUACCCUGGUAGCUACGAGU
rnacentral:rRNA from 1 species